GAACUGUUGAGCUGGAGACCAUGAUCUGGAGGCAGGAAGGCCACUAACCCCUCUGCUCUGUGCAUUACAGCUGUUCUCUGAGGCUCGCAGCCAGAUACUGUGAAGGCCACAGCUCAAGGAAGCAGGAAUAGAACAAGAUGCUAAGUCAGAAGAUGAACGCAGGCCCGACCUAACCAGGUAGAGAGUUAGUGGUCCAGCCUGCCUGACAGAGAGUCUUGGAGGACAUUUGAAGUAAACAUGCUGGAGUCCAGGAGAAGAGGGUCUUCCUUAAUCCCAGAGCCCCCU